AAAUGAUACAGGAGCUGGCUGAGCUUUUGGAUGAAGAAAAGCUUAGUGGAGUCCCCGUGCUCAUAUUUGCUAACAAGCAGGAUUUGCUGACGGCUGCCCCUGCUUCGGAGAUUGCCGAGGGACUGAACCUACACACAAUCCGGGACAGAAUCUGGCAGAUCCAGUCUUGUUCAGCUCUUUCAGGAGAGGGAGUACAGGACGGCAUGAAUUGGGUGUGCAAAAAUGUCAGUGCUAAGAAGAAAUAAAGCAUUCUGAGCUGCAUGGAAAUGGAGGAGCGGUGGGAGCAGAAUUCUAGCCUGAAAACACUAAUUUGCUGCUUUCUGACCAAAUGUUUUUCCAUCUGUGCACAGCUACAGCUGUUAAA